CUGAGUUUCAGGAUGAUUCAGCCUCUCUGAAUCUUCCAGUUGGUGAUCAAUCCACUAUUCCUCAGAGCCAAGCAAACACAAUCUCCAUCAGCUCUCAGAUGAGAGUCACCCAGUGAGCAGAGCGCAAGUCCCUUUCAGCCCCACCACCGGUGCCUCCGUGCCUGGGUUAGAGUUGGCCAUGGAAAGACAUCCCAUGUUUUCUGGGCAGGGCAGGCUCUCCUGGAUCACAGAUGGAAGAUAAGGGUUUGGCUCCACAUUGGAGAUAGUGCAUUACCCAGAGAGCAACUGUGAUGUCCGAGGGAGCUGCUGUGAUGUGGCUGUUGGCUCCUGCAUCCUCCUGGGUCCAGAGGUACCUCCCAGGAGGGUCUCCAGGCCUUCAGGCUAAACUGCACUCCCAUUCCUCUCUCCCAGGCAAGCUUUGGAGCUUUCUCUCCCUUGGGAGCGUGUCCUUGUGCUUUGCUGACCUGCCUGUGCAGGGAAAUGGAAAAGGAGAACUGCAGCAUCUUGGAGCCCUUGAGAUUUUGUUGCCUGGCAGGCAGGGUCGGAGCUGUUUGUGUAACAGGGUCUUUUCCAUCAUAUGUCUUUCCAUAGGGAUGGGGGCUGCCCUUAUCUACCAGGGGCUGCAGUGGGUUGGGUGUCCUGGGCUCACCCACAGUCCCACAUCUCCCUGGUGUCCUGCCCCACAGCAAGGAAGCAGUUCAUCCGUCUGUGGGCAUUACUGGAUUCAACUGCUGCAUCCAUCUCCUUGUUGCUCUGUUUUUCCUCAUCUGGGACAAAUAAUUCCUUGUGUGGAGGGAUGGCUGAUGAACCGGGGUGUUGGGAACUGAACUGAAUUCCUUGGCUGGAAGAGCACUAACGCAGCUAAAGCUCUUUGCUGAGCACUGGCUUUUUGUGACACUUCCAUGAGCCAUUCCCCUGCAAAGGAGAGGGACAUAUCCCAUCUGCAAAGCUGUCCCAUGCCCUGCACAGCAUGGGGUGGCUCUGAGCACCCACAGGACCUCACUGGACCACUAAAAUGGGUCCACUUGAUGGAUGAGCGCAAUACCAACUCCUCUGCUCUCAGACCGGGUGAGCUGAAACUGGGGUUGAACUGCCACAAAGCCAUGCUACAGCAGCGGAUGUGAAGCAGGACGAGGGGAAGGUCUACCCAGUGUCUGAGCUCUCCUUCAUUCCAAACUUCCCAUCCCUGCCAUCCAGUCUGUGCUGAAAAAUCCUUGGGAAUUAUCAGCACCCACACUUGUUGGAAGCUCAGCAUCCUCCGUGGCUGGAGCAUUGCAAGCUCUGGGUGCAAGGCCUUGCUGGAGAUGGAGACCCCAUCGCCGAGAUGCAGAAGUGAUGCCACUGCAACAGCAUGUGACGGAGCUCAGCACCGUGGUGCUGGGAGCUGAGGGCACUGCUGCAGAAAGAUGGUGAUGGGAGAUGUGAUCCUCACCAGGAAACAGCAUUGUCUCUGCAGACACACCAUGGCCAACCAAGGUAAACCAAGGGCAUGAGUCCCUCCCCAGGCAGGUUUUGCCAUCCUGGUCCUUUGUGGGACUUCUGCUGCCAUCUCCUCUGGUCUCUCAGAUCCUGAGUGGGGCUGAUUUCAUCCACACAGCAACAUCAGUGCCUUGUACCCAAGGGAGGAGUCCUUGGUUUAGCAGACCAAGGAGGCCAAAGAAUGGAUGUUGUUCCCCAAUAACAGAGAGGGUACAAGGACAAACAGCUCAGCUGAGCUCAUGUGGGCUCAGGCACCUCUCAAACUAGAUCCCACACUGGCAGAGCAUGCCAACUGUUUGGCUUUCAUACAAAACCCCCUUUUGACAGAGGUACCCCUGCUCUGAGGGCUCCAAGAAAGGUUUACCAAGGGUAUUUGCUGUCUUAGACCCCAGGGCAAUGUUGACCAAGCUGGAACUGGGGAACUUCCCUGUUGCCAUCCGGGAUCACUAGUGAGGAAAAUGCAUCCAACCCGCCGAGUAUCCCCUGGUGCCUCCUUUCCAAGCAUUAAAAGUGCUAAUUAAACCUGA